AGACGGUCAGGGCAGGACCAGGCGUUUAUCUGUGCCGGGGAAGGGAGCACCGCAGGCCUCCCUGUGCGGUGGGGAAUGAAAAGUGGCGGCGCUUGCAGGGGCUCUCCGGUCCCGGGGUGAACCUGGACGCCCUCUGUGUCUCUCGCUGAGCUCACCUUAUUCCCUGCUGUGGCUCUUCUCCCUGAGCUUUAAGCCCCUGCUAAGUACAUGAAGACCAGUGGUUCGUGAGCGGAGUUCAAAACCCUGUGGGAAGCCCGGUUUACUGAGAGAGGCAGCUUAGAUGACUUUCCUGACUGGAACAGAUACAGCUGCAGUGUGAGUGGAGAGUUAUCCUCGUAUGGCUGCAAGCACGCAAUGCUGAUGUGGAAGUUAAGUGUCCUCAGCCACCCCGUCUCUCCCUGCAGUAAAAGUCACCCCGUGGAUGGAGAGUCCAGGAGUGCAGAGCUAUGGCUGCACUAAUGUUGCUCGCAGUUGUGUUGCUGCAACAAGGCCGGUACAGUUGUGAGUGCUAGAACACAGGCCUAAAUAGCUAGAAAACUCUUGGCUGGGAAGAGAAAGUCCUGUUUCACCCCUUGAAUUAUCACUGCAGGGUAGUUUAUGACAGAAAGCAAAGCUCACUGUGGUCUAUAGAAAUGACACUGACAGUCUGGUAAAUAUGAGUUUUAUCAGACAAACUGAGCUAUGUGGUGACAAAUGUCGUCAGCUACUAUGCCCUGCAGCACUAAAAUGUUAGCUCCCUUUCCCAUCCUGCUAAGUUUGUUCUUCCUUGGCUCUUGUAAGCAGAAAUCAUUACAUUUAGCAAGUUGACAUACCUGCUUUUUAAAAACAUACUUUCUAAUGUUGACUUCAGACUUUGUACCAGAGGUGUUUGCAUUGCUGAAAAAUUGAAAAAGCAAAUGAAAAGACUAAGAAAAUAUUUUCUGAAAUGUUUAAAAUGUAAUUUUUCCAUAAGAGUCAAUGUUCCACUGAAUAGUUAUGUAACAAUACGUAAAUGCAGUCUUUUCAUGUUAGGCGUAAUGGAUACAGUGUGAAGCUACAUCAAAAGAUAAAAACAUAUUACCAUGAAACAAACCCCUUGUGAGUCCUGUGAUUCUUAGGAAAUCAUGUUUGGCUGAAACUUAAUUUCUUUUAACUUUUGUUACAAAGUCAAAAGCAAAAAAUUAAAAGCGCCAAGUAGACAUACAUCUCCUCAUGCCUGAAGGUCAACUUCCACAUCUCGGUGUCUUUUAAGAGUGUUAGACCAAGUUCCAGCAGGGAUUCACUCUCUGCUAGAUCUCCAAUCCUCUCAAGAGCAUUAGGCUUAGUGCCAGCAUUCGUUUACUCUUGUAACAGCUUAAAUUAACUCUUGUUACAUUCUAUCUAAACCCUUUCUUACAGAAUAAGAGUUGAGAGCUGGAUUCAGUCCCCUAGUUUGAGGGCCACCCAUCAUGCUAGUCUGUCUUUCAGGAUUUCAAAUGCUGCAUAAGCUGGACUGGGGAAGGCAAUGAUCAGCCAGUGGUAAAUUGAAGGAGGGGCUGGCGAGCCAUCUUUUGUAUGCAUGUCCCUGUUUCCUGAGAAAUAGUGUGGGGGUGGUCUGGUUUAUUUACCAUAAGUACAUGUGACAGUAAGCUCCAGCCAAAUGCAGGAUUUGAGUAGGCUAGGCACUGUGCUAACAGUAUUUUCAUACUUUCCUGGAGGAGCUGAACAGACAAGCUAAUUGAAAGACAGGAAGUAUCACUGCUUGGUUUUAUAGGUCAAGAACUGAACUGUAGAUUAUAUUUUACCCAAAGUCAGAUAGAAGACUGAAAUGAAAUGCCUCACAAAACCAGGCCCUCUUUAGCCCCUUCAAAAUUACAUCGGUCCUCUUAAGAAUAUCACUUAUAUUUUGCUUUAACGGACAUGAGAGCAAUCUGUCUGACUGUGAUUACAAGGCAAACACUCUGAAGCAGGUAAGGAUAUAAGCACAAGGAGGGCAAGUUUUGCUAAAAGUGGUAACACAAAAUAAUCUUAGCACACUUAGAAAAGUGCAGGGUAAUUGGAUAGAACUGGACAGUCAUUAAAGUUGGUCAGUUGAUACCUUGAUCUCUAUCCAGAGUCUCUAAAGUCCUGGUCUUCACUAGAUGAAGUACCAAGGUCUUCAUUAGUUGGCUUCAGGGAUUUCCAGAGCUGUUUUGUAUUCUAGAAAGACCAUUAUAUGUAGAAUAUUUAGAACCUUUAAAGGUAAUCUACUCCCUACCACCCUCCCCUCCAAUGAGCAGGAACAUAUUCAGCUAGGUCAUGUUGCUCAGAGCCCUUUUCAACCUUACCUUGAGUAUUUACAUAAUUUCUACCCAUCUCACUCCAUGAGAAAAAAAUCCCAAACAAACAAUAAAUAGAGGAGAGAUCAGUUUCAAGGAAGCUGAAAUACCUUUCUCUGAUGAAGAAGUUUUAAGAUGACAAUGUGCUGUUAGUUUAUAGAAAGUCCAGUUGUUCUGUAUGCUUUUGAGAUGGUGGAAAUGGAAUUAUCAGAGAAUCAACAUUCAUCCACUAGUAAAACUGAAAAUAAAUGUGAACAUUUUGUGCCUAGAUAACACUGUUCUGUCAUAAAUAAGAGUUCACAGCCAUCUUUGCAUUUAGGAGUACGCUAUAAAUAUAGCUUAUCUUCAAGUAUUUUCAGCUUGCUGGAGUUACUUGAAAGCUUAUCAUGAUAGAGUCCAUUUAAAAGGAAAAGAAUUAAAAUUUAUCUAAGAUAUGUGUCCCCAAAUACCUCUCAUAGCAUUCAUUUAUACUGACCUUUCUAACGUACUAUCUUCCCACAGUCCUUGUAUAUAGUUAGCUGAAAAAACACCUUACUGGCAUUUAUAAAAAGUUCCCUCAAACUUCAGAAUUACUUUUUUUCAGUCAAGUUUAAAAAUCAGAGAAAAAAGUUAAAAGCAAAAUUCUUACUUUAAAAAAAAAAUAAAUUUGAGAGUGGAAAAUACCAGUAAUGUAAUUGCAAAGAUUUUAAAAUACAGUUUCUAAGUUGUCAGCGACCUUUUUCUGAUAAAUAUUUGAUUCAUAAAAGAAAUGUUACAAAGAGUUUUGAAACACUGCUUUUAUGUGAAUAAAAAAUGCAGGUCAAAA